GUCCGUUCCUGAAGUGUGUGCCUGUGCCUUCUCUACUUUUUGGAUUAUACUGAUAUCUACAGCAAUGGAAAAUGCAUGUUGUGCUUGCUUUUGGCCUUUAUUACUUUGAGAACUGAAAACAUCCCAUGGCAAAAGCUGUCAUUCACCUGUCAGCAUAAAGCUUCAUGGAAAAGUUGCUUUGCUUGACUAUACUCUGGAUGAAAGUUGUGGUUUCUUUUUAUUUUUUGCCUUGAAACUUCAGAAUUAAAGAGAUGCAAGGGCUGUUUCUGGAUAACGUGAGGGAUUUCCUCUGCCCAAAUUCGACAGUUGUGGGUGUUAUAUUGCUCAUUGAGGCAAAAGUGGACCUCAUCACACAACAGAAUGUUCCAUGGCCAAGUUGUGUCAACCACCAUUCAAGCAAGGAACCGAAGGGCAACCGUCUUACGGACCUCUACAUCUCCGUUUUGCAACAGCUGCACAGACUUGAUUUUGUAUAGAUAAAAAUGCAAAAUCUGCCGUACGAUUUUUUGUAUAAUUGAAUACGGCAUAUCCAGAACACGGUAAACAACUGGCAAACUCACACUAUUAUGCGGCGACUGAAUGCUGGCUUGAAAGAGCGCAGUCGCAAAAUUUUCGAUGCUGGUAG